ACUUUCUUAGUAUAAUCAGUACAAUUGACUUCCAAUCAAUAAGUUCCGUAUCAUAACGGAAGAUAGUA
rnacentral:tRNA from 1 species